rnacentral:lncRNA from 1 species
AGGAUUCAAACAUGGGGAAUGACUAGUUGCUUAAGCGUUCACGUUAGGGUCAUACAAUCAAUUACCUCGUAAAUGUAUCGUCUCUAUUUCCAAUAUCUAAACACACAAUGAAACUAUAAUCUCCUCCUUCACCUUAUCGGUCUCUUCCUUAUAUUAAUUCAGUCAUACCAAUAACUGCUAUUUCUACCAAUAUAUUCACCCUCAUAAUCUCCAAGUGUAAUACUGAGCCUUCACAGCUUUCAGCUAACAAUUACCCUCAUUCCAAUCACUGGAAUUCUUCACACAGAACUGCCAUUCACAUUACAGUAUUUUAUACAAACACAAACUCAUUCUCUCUAUUGAACUACAAUCAGAUUUUAGCAUUCAAAUAAUACCAAUCAUAUUUUCAUUCCAUAAUUUACUUCACAAUAUUUAGAAACUCUCAAUCCUUUUAUUCAAAGAAAAUAACAAACAAAAGAAAAGAGGUAGCACCAAGCUUACCC